GUUUAAAAAGUAAUGAAUAAAAUAACAUAAAGCAUAUAAAUCUUCUAUUGAGUCACCUUUUCUUUACUUGUAAGCCGUGUUUUAACUGUAAAACCGGCAAGACCUUGAAACCUUCUUUCCCAGAUUUGUGUCUCAUACAGCUCUUUUUAAGCAUACAGAUAUAGAAUGUAUAACAUAAGAUGAAUCAUCACCAACAUUAU